rnacentral:sRNA from 1 species
CAAACCGGGCACUACGGUGAGACGUG